UUUUGUGAUUGGAGUUUGAAAUUAGAGGUAUUUUGUGGUUUUUGUUUUAAUUGGAGAUGAGGUUUUUUUUUAAUGUAUUAAAUUUAGUGGAGUGUUGAGAGGUUUUUUUUAUUUUUAGUUUUUUUGGUUUUUUAGAGUUAUUAUGAGAAGUUUUUUGAGGUUAUUUGUAUAAGUUGAGGGAUUUUAGGGUGUUUUGUUUUAAUUUGAGAAAGAUUUUGAGAGAUUUUUUUUAAUACGUUUUGAGGUUAGAGUUUUUUUUUAUGGUUUGGGAGUAAUGAUGUGUUUUUUUUUGUUAUUUGUAUGGAGAUUUGAUUUUUUUGGUGUUUUAUGAGAGGUUUAUUGAUUUUGUUGUUGUAUUUUGUGAGAAAUUGUAUAUUGGGGUUGUUGUUUGAGAAUAAUUUUGAGAUUUUUUUGUUAUUGAGAGAUGAGGGUUUUUGUUUUUUGUAUGGUUUAGUGAUUAAUUUUGUGAUUUUUUUUUAAAUGUUUUAGGAGGUUUGAUUUUUUUGAGUUUAUUUAGUGAGUUUUAAGAGAUAUUUGUUGUGAUUUGAGAGUAGAGUGGGGUUUUUUGUUUUUAUUUGAGAUGAAUGUUUGUUUUUUUGGGUGUGUUUGGAAUGUAAUUUUGAGAUUUUUGUUGUUUUUGGAGAGGAAUAUUGGUUUUUGGAUAUAAGUUUAGAUGAGGUUUAUUGGUUUUGUAGUUAUUUGAGAGUAAUUUUUAGUUUUUUUUUGUAAUUUGAAUGGAAGAUUGGAUUUGUUUGGGUUAAUAUAAGAGGUAGUUUGAAUUUUUUGUUGUAAUUUGAGAAUUUUGUUGUAAUUUGAGAAAAAUUAUGUGGUUUUUUUGUUAUUGUAAGAUGAAGUUUUUUUUUGUUAUAGUGUUUUAGGAGAAGUUUUAUGUUAGGAAUUGGAGGUUGAAAGGGUAUUUGGUAUUUUUGAUGUGAUUUAUAAAGUUUUUUGAAAUUUUGGUUUUUUUUGAGAGGAAUAUUGAGGUUUUUUGGUAU
rnacentral:misc_RNA from 1 species